rnacentral:rRNA from 1 species
UACGUAGGGUCCGAGCGUUGUCCGGAAUUAUUGGGCGUAAAGAGCUCGUAGGCGGUUUGUCGCGUCUGCUGUGAAAUCCCGAGGCUCAACCUCGGGUCUGCAGUGGGUACGGGCAGACUGGAGUGCGGUAGGGGAGAAUGGAAUUCCUGGUGUAGCGGUGGAAUGCGCAGAUAUCAGGAGGAACACCUGAGGUGAAGACGGGUUGCUGGGCUGACACUGACGCUGAGGCGCGAAAGCCAGGGGAGCAAACGGG